GAAAGAAAGGAGGCACUGGGAAUGCUGAGGGGCUCUGGCAAAUGGUGAUUAUCUAUCCAGAGCCCUUUCUGAAGCAUUGCUCUGCAGACCCGCCAGCCAGGGUUUUCAUUAAGUAGCAUUAAGUCAUAACCUUAAGUAAUAAAGCAAGCAUGCAUAGAAGGGCAAAGCCAGUCACUUCUCAGACCCCGAACCCCUCAGUGAAGGUUGGUGCAUGCAACGGGCUGGCCCUUUGGUGGAGACUGAAGAAAGAGUUUAUUGCAGGUGGGAAUAUUAUUUAAACAGGGAUUGAUGGAGGACAAAAGGGGCUUCUGGUUCCAUGAGGCAGGAGAUAAAUGAGAUGGGAAUCCUGAGUCAUGCAUUUUAUUCACUUCUCUGGAACGAGUUUUGGGGGCUCAUUUAGCAGAGAAAAUAGGACAAGAAAAAUGGACUCAGCUGGCAUUGGACAGAGUCAAAGCCAAAUGACUUCUGGGUUCUAAAUUUUUUUGUUUUGUCUUUAUUCAUACGUGUUGGUUGUUUGGAUUGUUUUUCAUUGACCAUUGUAAGCUAAAUCCAUAUCAGGAGGAUCUGAAAAGCUCAUAAUAAAAAUAUAAAGUAGAGACCAAGGGUUGUAAAAGUGGCAUUUUACUCAAGAUAUAGUAAGGCUGUUUUACAAUAGUGGGUAGUAAUCAAUAAUUUAAAUGAAAACCCUCAAGGGUUAGAUGAUGAUAGAGCUGAUGUUCUUCUUAUUGACCAAGAUGCACCAACCAGUCUUGAAGAGGAUCUCGUUUUGUAAAGGAGCCAUGCAGAAGAAGAAUUCCCAGAGGGAGCCUAAUGUCUGUGAAAUGUCAUAUAUUGCUUACACAGAAACCAGUUACUCAAAGAGCUAUGCUGUUCUUAUGCCCUGUGAUGGAUCUACUGGGGAUAGAGAUAAGAGCCUGUCUGCCUGCCUCAGCCUGUGCACCUGAUCGUUCUUUUCCUGAAGCAACUUGUCAUGCCUUCACAGUGCACACCUGACCAGUUCCAAACCAAAAAGGGAUGUGCCUGGACGUGUGUGGAUAGAUGGCUGAGGGAGACAUUAUUGUUGUUGUUGAGCCUCCAUCAUCUCUCACCUGGACUGGUGCAGUCUUCUCCAAGGUAAAGAUGGCUAAUGGUCUCCCGCAUUCAUCCCCCUUUUUCCUUAGGAACAGAACUCCCGAUUAUUUUGAAGUGGGAGGGCACAUGGUAGCUCAGAAUACAGACCUGCAUUUGCCAGCCUCCCCUGGAGCUCUGGCCAAUAGGAAAUAAACAGAAGUGUCCUAUACGACUUCUAGGAAAUACACUUAAAAGGACAGAAUGGGUUCUUCUUUGACCUUUCCUUACAGCAGCUUGCUGGAAUGCAGGCGUGCUGGCUGGGACUGAACCACCCUCUGGGACUGUGAGGCAGCAAUGUUGGAUGGCGGGGAAGCAGGCUGGAAGAAAAUUUAAGACCCUAGGCUUCAGAAGCAGACGAGGGAACGAGCAGAAGAACAGAAGAACAGCAGAAUGGCAUGGCAGAGAGAAGAAAGGGACCAUCUGAACGCCAAGAGAAAUUCAGCUGGGGGAGGUCAGAGAGGAGAUAGACUGCAGGACAGCCAAGCUCCAGGGGAAGAUCAUCUUCCCACUCCAUCCCCUUUCCAGCUCCCCAUCCAUCCCGCUG
rnacentral:lncRNA from 1 species